GCCCGCCUAGCUCAAUCGGCCAGAGCGUCAGACUUUUAUCCGCUCGGCGGUAACGGGCAUCUGAAGGCUGCGAGUUCGACCCUCGCGGUGGGCU